rnacentral:rRNA from 1 species
AGCGAACGCUGGCGGCAGGCCUAACACAUGCAAGUCGAACGAAGCCUUCGGGCUUAGUGGCGGACGGGUGAGUAACACGUGGGAACGUACCUUUUGGUUCGGAAUAACGCAGAGAAAUUUGCGCUAAUACCGAAUGAGCCCUUCGGGGGAAAGAUUUAUCGCCGAAAGAUCGGCCCGCGUUGGAUUAGGUAGUUGGUGUGGUAAACGCGCACCAAGCCUACGAUCCAUAGCUGGUCUGAGAGGAUGAUCAGCCACACUGGGACUGAGACACGGCCCAGAAUGCUACGGGAGGCAGCAGUGGGGAAUCUUGCGCAAUGGGCGAAAGCCUGACGCAGCCAUGCCGCGUGAAUGAUGAAGGUCUUAGGAUUGUAAAAUUCUUUUACCAGGGACGAUAAUGACGGUACCUGGAGAAAAAGCCCCGGCUAACUUCGUGCCAGCCGCCGCAGUAAUAC